CAUGACAUACGAAUAACUCUCGAUUACAACUCAAAAAAAAGAAUAACAACUGUCUAUGGAAUCUCUAAGACACAAUGAUGAAAUAAAUACUUGGGACAGACCCAACCCAAAAGUAAGUAAGAUCAACAUGAAGGCUACCGCGGAAUAGAAGUGGUGCCUUGCUAUAUGCUUCGGAAAGAGAGUCAUCCUAUUGCCCCAUCAGCUCAUCAUGUACCACGUCUCAUCCUGAAAAUAUGUAAAGUAAGUGGGACCCUGGAGAGGGCCCCCUGAGGGCUGAGUAUACCACGGCGGUACUCAAUAAGUGUCAUAGACUCUCUAACUCAAGUUUCUGGGACAAGGCUUUACAAAAAUAAUGCAACCAACAUUGAUAUAAAACGAUAACAAUUAUAUCAAUUCAUGCUCUUUAUCAUUUUAAAUGAAAAAACUAGAAAAAUGUAAAUCAUGAUAUAAACUUUUAAAACAUUUAUACCAACCCAUGAUUCUAAUAAAAUCAUGUAAAAUCAUUUCAACUUCAUUAAGUCAUUGAAAUCACUUUUGGCUCCUUAGGCCUAAACAUAACAAAAUUAGCUUUUACCUUUUUACCGGGAGUACUAUACCGACACCGACUUAAUAAACAAUUACUAGGUGAUCGACCUAGCAACAAGUAUUUGACCCUACUUGUCUGGGCGGCUUCUCGUAGUGCCGUACGAGUCGACUUAACCUCAUUACUUUAAGUAAUGAUCAUUUGCCUUCUUAAUGGGGGACUUUAUCCCACAAACCUCGGCUUAGCCUUGGAAUAUGUCCCUACACCGGCACGUGUAGUUUCAUAGUAACGAACUCAACAUUCGACCAAUCUCGGUGGUCUCCACUAGUAACUCCCAAAACAUUUGAUAUUUCCAAAAUAGAUUCAUAGCAUAUUAACCUCAAAGGAUCUAUUUUUAUCAAAUCAUUCCUCAUGGCCAAACUAAACCAUUUGAAUAAAACAAUCAAACAUAUGAUCUUUUUUCAUGUUAAAGCCUUUAGCAAUUUAACAUCCAUCUUUCAAAGAUACAAACGAGUGCUAUCCAUUAAUCAAGUUUCAAAAGGAAAUACUUUACAUAAAAAUACAUCUUCGGCACUCAAAUAUUUUAUAUUCUUUCCAAUACUCAAGUUUGAAUAAAACUUAUAACAUUUUCCUCAAGCAUCGUUUGACAUCGAAUCUUUAGAAACAAGAUUUUGCAAUUGUAAAACAACAAAACUUUCUUUAUGCAAUACAACUCCAAAUACAUGGUGACAUCCUUUCCCGCUUGUCCCCACAAGUAUGGAUGCACAUUUACAAACUCACGUAAUAACUCAAAUAUGAUUUUAGAGAAAAUCCCUCAAGAAGAGUAAGUAUUAAUCAACUUACUUCAAGUCCAAGCUUCAAAAUAAUAGUAUGACGCUUCAAUUCAUUUUUAACUCUCAAACGUCGCCAACAAGCCAAUAUCUACAUUAGACAUCCCAAGACAUCAAAAUGUAUCCAAAUAUAUGUCGAUACCCAUUUAAGGUUCACAAGUUAACUAUAAGUCUUCAACAAGCCCAAUUCACCCAUACAUAUCCAUUUUAUCCUUAGUUGCUUCCAUCAUUGGCCUUUAAANNNNNNNNNNNNNNNNNNNNNNNNNNNNNNNNNNNNNNNNNNNNNNNNNNNNNNNNNNNNNNNNNNNNNNNNNNNNNNNNNNNNNNNNNNNNNNNNNNNNNNNNNNNNNNNNNNNNNNNNNNNNNNNNNNNNNNNNNNNNNNNNNNNNNNNNNNNNNNNNNNNNNNNNNNNNNNNNNNNNNNNNNNNNNNNNNNNNNNNNNNNNNNNNNNNNNNNNNNNNNNNNNNNNNNNNNNNNNNNNNNNNNNNNNNNNNNNNNNNNNNNNNNNNNNNNNNNNNNNNNNNNNNNNNNNNNNNNNNNNNNNNNNNNNNNNNNNNNNNNNNNNNNNNNNNNNNNNNNNNNNNNNNNNNNNNNNNNNNNNNNNNNNNNNNNNNNNNNNNNNNNNNNNNNNNNNNNNNNNNNNNNNNNNNNNNNNNNNNNNNNNNNNNNNNNNNNNNNNNNNNNNNNNNNNNNNNNNNNNNNNNNNNNNNNNNNNNNNNNNNNNNNNNNNNNNNNNNNNNNNNNNNNNNNNNNNNNNNNNNNNNNNNNNNNNNNNNNNNNNNNNNNNNNNNNNNNNNNNNNNNNNNNNNNNNNNNNNNNNNNNNNNNNNNNNNNNNNNNNNNNNNNNNNNNNNNNNNNNNNNNNNNNNNNNNNNNNNNNNNNNNNNNNNNNNNNNNNNNNNNNNNNNNNNNNNNNNNNNNNNNNNNNNNNNNNNNNNNNNNNNNNNNNNNNNNNNNNNNNNNNNNNNNNNNNNNNNNNNNNNNNNNNNNNNNNNNNNNNNNNNNNNNNNNNNNNNNNNNNNNNNNNNNNNNNNNNNNNNNNNNNNNNNNNNNNNNNNNNNNNNNNNNNNNNNNNNNNNNNNNNNNNNNNNNNNNNNNNNNNNNNNNNNNNNNNNNNNNNNNNNNNNNNNNNNNNNNNNNNNNCCUAAUACAUGUUAUACGAUUCAAUACUUAAUCAUGAUUAAGCUAUUGAAGCACUAGGAUCACCAAUCAUCUUAACAAGAUUCAAAAAUUCACUAUUCAUCCUCUUCUCCAUUCAAGAACCCUAACUCACAAUACCCAUUUUAAGGACUAGCAUAAUUCUUCAACCAAUUGGUACUUUCUACUUCACAAUACAUUCCAAAUACUUAAUCCAUAGAUAUAUUUAAGUGUAGGGUAGGGAUUUUACCUCUUGUAGUUCAAACCCUAACUUGAACCCUUUUGAAUGAUUCUUGAAGAUUAGAGGAAUCCCUAUGAAUUUCAAUCCAUGUAGAUAUUAAUACUAUCACUAACUAGUGUUAAUCCAUUAUAAAAAUACCAUAUAACUCACCUUUGAUGUGUAUUUGGGUUGGAGAUGCUCCACAUUCUCUCUAGAACCCAAAACUUAGCCAAAAAUGAAAUUUCUCUCUCCCCGAAUCCCCCUAUUUUUAUAGAAAAUAGCGUGCGUAGGCAAAUUGCGUAGCCUACGCAGAUUGGCUACGCAGGCCUAUGUAGCCUACGCACCUUACGUCCUCCCCUCACUUCCAUUCUGUUUUUGCCUACGCAGGACGCAAGAAGGCUACGCAGGUCUGCUGGAAUCCUUUCCUCCCUCUUAGCUCAAUCAUUCCAAUCUAUGCCUUUAAUCAUACAACUUGAGGACCUUAAAUCCAUCUUACCUUCAUGCCUAAUUAUUGUAAUGAUCCUAUUACCCUCGUGUGGGUUCGCAAGCACUUCGAGGUCUCGCAAAAUAUUCUCUUAAGCUCGAGUUCGGCUUAAUCUUGUUAGAAAAAUUUUCUGGGGCUUCGUAUGGAGUCUGGGGAGGGUAGUGUGUACGCAGACCUUACCCCUACCUUGUGAAAGUAGAAAGGUUAUUUCCGAUAGACCCACGGCUCAAGGAACAAUGACAAGGAAGCAACCAACCAUAACAACAGCAGUAAAAAGAAAAGAAAAAAACAAAGACUCAUGUAUAUUAACAAUAUCUAGAGAUAAGAAAUACAAGAAUAGUACUAAUACUCUUGGAGACAAGAGUGGGCUGCUCUAGUGGUAAGCACCCUCCACUUCCAACCAAGAGGUUGUGAGUUCGAGUUACCCCCCAAGAGCAAGGUGGGGAGUUCUUGGAGGGAGGAAGCCGAGGGUCUAUCGGAAACAGCCUCUCUACCUCAGGGUAGGGGUAAGGUCUGCGUACACACUACCCUCCCCAGACCCCACUAGUGGGAUUAUACUGGGUUGUUGUUGUUGUACUAAUACUAUCGGUAAAAAAGAGACAACAUAUAAUAAAAGGUCUAGGAAUAGGAAAUAAGGAUAUUAGUAAUACUACCGGUAAUACUAGGAAACAACUCAACCUUCGACCUUAAUCCUCAAUCUCCACGCCUUCCUAUAUAGGGUCAUGUCCUCAGUAAGCUGAAGCGACGCCAUGUCCUGCCUAAUCACUUCUCCCCCAUACUUCUUAGACAUACAUCUACCCUUCCUCAAACCUGCCAUGGUCAACCUCUCACAUCUCCUAACCGGCGCGUCUAUGUCUCUCCUCAUGACGUGCCCGAACCAUCCCAACCUCGAUUUCCGCAGUUUGUCUUUCACAGGGGCCACUCCCACCUUAUCCUUACUAACUUCAUUCUUAAUCUUAUCUUUCCUGGUAUGCCCACACAUCUAUCUCAACAUCCUCAUUUAUGUUACUUUUAACUUUUGGACAUGAGAUUUCUUGACUGGCUAGCACUCCGCACCAUACAACAUAGUUGGUCUAACUGCCACUUUGUAGAACUUGCCCUUAAGUCUUGGUGACACAUUCUUAUCACACAAAACACCAGAUGCGAGCCUCCAUUUCAUCUACCCCGCUCCAAUACGAUGUGUAACAUCCUCGUCAAUCUCCCCAUUGCCUUGGAUAACAGACCCAAGAUAUUUGUAACUAUCACUCUUGGGGAUGACUUGUGCAUCAAGCUUCACGUCCACUUCAGCUUCAUGCGUCCCAUCACUGAAUUUGCACUCCAAAUAUUCAGUUUUUGUUCUACUCAACUUAAAACCCUUAGAUUCCAUGGUCUCUCCAACCUCCAGCCUAAGCGUUGACCCCGCUACGCGUUUCGUCGAUCAACACUAUAUCAUCUGCGAAUAAUAUACACCAUGGCACCUCCCCUUGGAUAUGUCGCGUCAGCACAUCCAUCGUCAGAACAAAUAAAACUGGGUUAAGAGCUGAACCCUGAGACCAUGGAUUCUUUUUGGUUCUCUAAAAAACAAUUGAGGAUUCAAAAGGUCCAUUACCAUGCUUAUGUUAGCUAAUGUGGGAUGGUGUUAUCUUGCUUAUUGAUAUGUAUCACUUGCUUAUCACUUUGAGACCCUUCUAUAUUUUUCUACCACUUCUCACAAUUGUGCACCUUCAGACGAGGCAAUUUUGAAUUGCUUCUUUAGCCUUUUCGUCUUUAUGAAUGUGAACAUUUAUGGUUUUGCUCCUCUUUGACCCAAAAAAGCACUUUAAUUGAAGGACUUUGAAUUUUAGGCAAUGUUAUUAAAUGAGAAAAGCGCAAAAAAGCUCUAAGGUCUAUUGGAGCUUUAAGCGUAAAGCGCAAAUACAUUGUGAGCUUUAUUGAGGAAAGGCGCAAAUGGAGAAAAGAUAUGUAUGUGUAGUCCAACACUAAUAAUUACAAACAUGAAUAACAACUAUAUGAACAAAAAGAUUGAAAAAAAAUUAUGAUAAAAUGAAAUAUCAAGUGUGAAGUGUCGCCUCUUCCAGAUUACGCUCAUUCGCAAGGAAAAGUAUGUCUUAGAGCCUUGAAGAUGACACUGAAGCAACCGCUUAGCGAGGUGAAAUGCUCAACAUGUUUGCGUUUCGCUUCGGGGCUUAAACGUGCUUUGACAACAUUAAUUUUUGUUGCAUAAGCAAACACUAUUUCAAGAAAAAAACAUCAUCAUAAUUCUUUAAGUUUGCUUCUCCUACUUAAUUCGCAAACAUUUGUAUUCUUUAGGAAGUGAAUAGUUUCUUUAAGUUGUUGUUUUUUCUUAAUACUUUUUACCGUCAAGAAAGCAUCUUUGGAUCUUGUCCGGGUCGAUAUCACCUUAUUACUUGAAUAUGUUGAUGACGAGGAUGAGGUUAAGGGUCCAAGUUCCAUAAACUGGUAUCUCGAAUGGGGAGUAUCAUACGAGGAUCUUUUCUAAAGGGCGAAGGAUAUUCAUGAUAUUUACAACCAAUAUAAUCUAUUUCAAAAGGAUUGAAGCAAUUGACGCAUUGUUUGAUAGAGUUUAAAGGAGAAAGGAGUUGGUCCAGAAAAUCAUGAGAGGGGUAGAGAAAGAGAUAGAUGUCGAACUACAUCUGACAUAAUUAAAUAUAUUACACUUAAAAGGUGCUUUUCAUGGAUGUGAUAUGUAGUCGAGUCACAAGAACUCUUUUUCUACUCUUUUCUAAGUAGGAUGGAUGGACAUGGCCCCUAACAAAGUAUAACUGACAUAUGAAGACUUAUCUUUUCUCUUGAAAUGAUCAAAGGUGAAGGGCUUCUCAAGAUUCAAGCAAUUGUGGAUUAUACAACUAGUACAUUUAUAUGUUCCUCCCAUGUUCAUAUUUCCUUGUGUAGGGGGAAUUAUAACUUGUUUUUUCAAUAAAGUAGAUUUGUGAUAUUUGAAUCUCAAGUAAGGUUCUCCCCGUUGCCUCGUCUCUAAUUAAACCACAUGUUCCAUAACUUGUGCGUUCCCCGGUCAAUUCUAUUGCAACAUACCCAAAAGGUAUAUGAAUGGCUUUGUUGUCGAAUUGUUAGGUUUCUUGCUGUUGUUGAUACUACUUCGUGUUACUGUGUCUUUCAUGGUUUAUCCAUAUUGUAUUUCUUUUCAACAAUGUUGUGACUAUGAUUUUCCUGAGCCGAGGGUAUAUUGGAAAUAAUAUUUCUACCUUCACAAGGUGGGGUAACGCUGCGUACACGCUACUCUCCUCAGACCCCUACUUGUGUGAUUACACUGGAUUUUUUUUUUGUUGUUGUUAUUGUAUCGACUAAAGAAUUAAUAGCCGACAAAGAAAGAGCUUCUGCUAUUACUUAUCAUAUUGAACAGUAAUUGAGUAUAAUUAAUAUGGAAGGAAAUAUCAAGUUGUGUUGAAAAAGUAGCAAUUGAACUGUUAGGUAUGUCUAAAGGUCAAGGACCUCAAUGGCAUAAAUCCUGGUAGUGAAAUGCGGAGGUAUAAAAAGUUGUUAAAUUAAAAGAGACUGUUAUAGAAAGUUGCCAAAAGCAAAAAACAGAGAAGCAUUUGAAGAAUACAAGAGAGCUAAGGACAUGGAGGAACAAUGGUUUAUUUUUUUUAUAUAUUAGAUUGAACUACACUGAGGAAACUUGGAAUGGUCUUGUGGUCUAAUGGGGUACUCGUAAAGAGAUAUUUAAUUCAAUAAGCUAAUGAAUGGAGGUGUGUUGAAAACGUGAGGAAGACAAAUGUCAUGGAGUCUCCAUAGAAAGAACAACUUGUUAGGUGGAGAAGACAAAUGUCGUGGUAUAGUUAGUAAUGCAAUGGUUCUAUCAGUCUAUCAAUACAACUUCUAUCUUCACUAAAAAUAUCUGUACCAAAAGUUCUCGACCAUAAAUAGUAAUUCGUGGAGUUAUGUAUUGCGAUAGAGGUAGCUUGUUCGUCAAUCUCCGAAAUCUUAUUGAGAAAUAGUCUUGACGAGUGAUCCUAAGUGUUGUUACAUGACAUUUGUGGAAGAACUUUAAUACGUGACAUUUUCAACUAUAAUAACUUGUACGCUUCAUCACUUCAAAGAAAAAUGAAUUCACUUCUCAUUUUUCGCUUCAAGUGCAUGGAACUUUUUAUUCUUUGUGCUUUUCACUUUUAAAAACACUGGCAUAGAAACAUCAGCUGGCACUGUGCAAUGAUCCACUAUACCAGUCCGAGUUAGGGUGCUUGUUCCAAGUGAAUCCGCUCCACUCGAGUAGAGGCCAUAGCUUGCCAAUCAAGAGGUUGCACCACAACGGAAGGUUAAAUUGACUUAAGAACUAGAUUGAAUGAUCGAGUCAUUGAACCCUGCUGAAUAUACAUUGAUGAACCGCUUCAUGGAUCUCUACUCAUCCAUUUCAGUUCAGGAGUUCCCGAUGUUCAAACCGUUUAUAAUUAACAUGCAAGGAAUGUCAAUAUAUCUUCCAAGAGUUGCUAUGUAAAUACACACUAAUUUUCUUCCACAAAUGUUUUCGUAUCAAUAAUAACUUAUUUUUGCACACCCUUGUCAUGUAACAACACUUGGAAUCACUCGUCAAGACUAUUUCUCAAUAAGAUUUAGGAGAUUGACGAACAAGCUACCUCUAUAGCAAUGCAUAACUCCACGAAUUGUUAUAUAUGGUCGAGAACUUUUAGUACAAAUAUUUUUAGUGAAGAUAGAAACUUUAUUGAUAGACUGAUGGAACAAUUGUGGUUGAAUUGAACUUCAACGCGUAUACAAAGUAGUCUCAGAUAUGGUCCAAAAUAAUAAAGAUAUAGCAAGUUACAUGGGACAAAUAAAAACUUUGAAACAUGAAUUUAACUCUCUCAUGCUACUUUCUGAUAGUAUUUCUAAUAAGAGCAACAACGGGAUAAGUUCUUUAUGGUUCUAGCUUUGAAAGGACUACGAUCUGAUCUUGGUUUUGUAUGGGAUCAGAUUUCGGCAAGUCCCACGGUUCCCUCCUUAAAAGAUGUUUCAGCUCGGUUAUUGCGCAUCUUUUCACAACCAGUUGAUACUAGUGGAGCUGAAACUUCUGUUGAAUACGAAUUUGCAAGUUUAGAAUGGCUAUCAAAAAGGGUAAGGUAAAAGUACCAGAUCCUACUGUAAUCAUUGCAACAUGGCAGGCCAUACUCUAAAUACUUGUUGGAAACUAUAUGGUCGACCACCACACAACAACCGCCCCAUGGCUCAUGUUGCUCAAACCAUUUGAGAUGCAGAGAGUCAAUCUAAAGAUUCCAUUACUUUGACUAGAGCAAAUUACAAUGAUUACUUGUAGUGUCAAGCUACAAAACAACAAUCACUUCCACCUGGCAAUGUACAAACUGGUAAUUCCUUUGCUUGUUUUACCAGGCCUUCACCCGCUUAUCCAUGGAUACUAGAUUCUGUGCAUCUGACCAUAUUUCCGGUUCUAAGAAUCUGUUAGUUUACAGCUAUGUAUUAUAUAGUGUAGUCUUGUCCCACAUUGGAAUAGGAGUAGUAUGUCCUUGUAUAGUAUAACUAUAAAUAAAAACCUCUUGUAUUGUAUUGAAGAUCCAAUAUCAAUAACAUAUUUUCUCCCAUGCUUUCUCACAUGGUAUCAGAGCAAUUGUGAGAGAUUUAUCGUUGUGCAUAAAUUCCAGCGAUUUUGGGAAGAGAAAUCAGUCAGCGGAAGUCUUUUUCCGGCGACUCUUUUUUAAGGCUGUUUUGCGUCUGCUUCGUCUCCGUCAGUGUUGUGCAAAAUCCAACACUACCACAAGAAUCUUCACUGUCCGGCGACCAAACCCCAGUGAAAAUCUCCGGCAGCAGCCUCCUCACGCGCCACCAGAAGCUCACGCGCCGGCGCGUACAACCACUUCCGGCCAUAUUUUGAAAAACUUCCUUCAAAACAGUUGGGUCGCCUGGUCCCUACUGUUUUCAUUUCAUUCCGACCACUUUGAGUUUUUUCCGGCAGCUACAGUACUAUUCCGGCAGCUACAGUAUUUCCUUAUUUUGUUUCUGUGUUCCCUUACUCUGUUUCAGUGGAUUACAGUUGAUUCUUUCUCUUAUUUGGUAAUAAUUUGCAACGAUGUAUUUGGAAUUUGAUGCUUUUGGGUCUAGAAACACGAGUUCUAGAAGCUCUAGUGCUAUUAUUAUCUCGGAACCUUUAAUGGGAGGUUCAAACUACUUAGCGUGGGCUUCAUCUGUCGAGUUGUGGUGUAGAGGCCAAGGUGUUCAAGAUCAUCUAAUCAAACAGUCUAGCGAAGGAGAUGAAAAGGCAAUAGCACUUUGGGCAAAGAUCAAUGCUUAGUUAUGUAGCAUCUUGUGGCGAUCUAUUGAUUCCAAGUUGAUGCCUUCAUCUGUCGAGUUGUGGUGUAGAGGCCAAGGUGUUCAAGAUCAUCUAAUCAAACAGUCUAGCGAAGGAGAUGAAAAGGCAAUAUCACUUUGGGCAAAGAUCAAUGCUUAGUUAUGUAGCAUCUUGUGGCGAUCUAUUGAUUCCAAGUUGAUGCCCUUGUUUCGUCCAUUCCAAACAUGUUAUUUGGUUUGGGCAAAGGCACGCACCUUAUACACUAAUGACAUAUCUCGCUUCUAUGAUGUGAUAUCGCGGAUGACAAACUUAAAGAAAUAGGAAUUAGACAUGUCUACUUACUUGGGUCAAGUACAGGCAGUCAUGGAGGAAUUUGAGAAGUUGAUGCCAGUUUCUGCUAGUGUUGAAAAACAACAAGAGCAGCGAUGGAAGAUGUUUCUUGUUUUUACCCUCGCUGGACUUCCUAAUGAUCUUGAUUCAGUACGCGACCAGAUUUUGGCUAGUCCGACUGUCCCGACAGUUGAUGAAUUAUUCUCUCGAUUACCCCGCCUUGCUGCAGCACCAAGUCACCCAGUGAUCUCAUCACAGAUACUUGAUUCCUCUAUUCUUGCAUCCCAGACAAUGGAUGUUCGGGCAUCUCAAACUAUGGAGCAUAGACGAGGAGGAGGUCGUUUUGGAAGAUCUAGACCCAAGUGUUCUUAUUGUCACAAACUUGGACACUCGUGAAAUGUGUUAUUCCUUACAUGGUCGUCCACCCUAAAAUGCUUACAUUACUCAGAUCGAGACUACAGGUAACCGGAGAUUUUCUUUAUCUAAAGAAGAAUAUAAUGAGUUCCCUUCAGUAUCGAGCAAGUAAGCAGACAUCUCUACAAGUAGCCUCAGUUGCUCAGACCGAUACUUUUGUUACUGGUAAUUCUUUUGCUUGUGUUUCCCACUCUAGUACUCUUGGCCCAUGGAUCAUGGACUCAGGCGCUUCUGAUCACAUCUCUGGUAAUAUAUCACUUUUGUCAAAUAUUGUAUAUUCACAGUUUCUUCCCACUGUUACUUUAGCCAAUUGAUGUCAAAUUAAGGCAAAAGGAGUUGGACAAGCUAAUCCCGUGUCUUCUAUCACCCUAGAUUCCGUUCUUUAUGUCCCUGGCUGUCCUUUUAGUCUUGCAUCUGUUAGUCGUUUGACUCAUGCCCUCCAUUGUGGUAUAUAUUUUAUUGACGAUUCUUUUAUUAUGCAGGACCGCAGUACGGGACAGACAAUUGGUAUAGGACGUGAAUCAGAAGGCCUUUACNNNNNNNNNNNNNNNNNNNNNNNNNUGCAGAGUCUGUCUUCUUCUUAGUUCAUUCUGAUAUAUGGGGUCCUAGUAGAGUCAGUUCAACCUUGGGAUUUCGUUAUUUUGUUAGUUUCAUUGAUGAUUAUUCAAGAUGUACUUGACUUUUCUUAAUGAAAUAUCGUUCUGAGUUAUUUUCUAUAUUCCAGAGUUUCUGUGCUGAAAUCAAAAAUCAAUUUGGUGUUUCUAUUCGCAUUUUUCGCAGUGAUAAUGCCUUAGAAUAUUUAUCUUCUCAGUUUCAGUAGUUUAUGACUUCUCAAGGAAUUAUUCAUCAAACAUCUUGUCCUUAUACCCCUCAGCAAAAUGGGGUUGCUGAGAGAAAGAAUAGGCACCUUAUUGAGACUGCUCACACACUUCUAAUUGAAUCUCGUGUUCCGUUGCGUUUUUGGGGCGAUGCAGUUCUCACAGCUUGUUAUUUGAUUAAUCGGAUGCCUUCAUCUCCCAUCAAGGAUCAGAUUCCGCAUUCAGUAUUGUUUCCCCAGUCACCGUUAUACUCUCUUCCACCCCGUGUUUUUGGGAGCACAUGUUUUGUUCAUAACUUAGCCCCUGGGAAAGAUAAGUUAGCUCCUCGUGCUCUCAAGUGUGUCUUGCUUGGUUAUUCUCGUGUUCAGAAGGGAUAUCGUUGUUAUUCUCUAGAUCUUCGUAGGUACCUUAUGUCAACUGACGUCACAUUUUUUGAGUCUAAACCUUUCUUUAAUUCUGCUGACCACCAUGAUAUAUCUGAGGUCUUACCUAUACCAACCUUUGAGGAGCUUACUAUAGCUCCUCCUCCGCCUUCGACCACAGAGGUUUCACCCAUACCAACCGUUGAGGAGUCUAGUGUUGUUCCUCCUAGUUCUCCAGCCACAGGAAUACCACUCUUGACUUAUCAUCGUCGUUCGCGCCCUACAUCAGGCCCAACUGAUUCUCGUCCUGCACCUGACCUUGCUCCUACUGCGGACCCUGCUCUUAGUACACCGAUUGCACUUCGGAAAGGUAUACGGACCACCCUUAACCCUAAUCCUCAUUAUGUCGGUUUGAGUUAUCAUCGUCUGUCAUCUCCCCAUUAUGCUUUUAUAUCUUCUUUGUCCUCGGUUUCCAUCCCUAAGUCUACGGGUGAAGCAUUGUCUCAUCCAGGAUGGCGACAUGCUAUGAGUGACGAGAUGUCUGCUUUACAUACAAGUGGUACUUGGGAGCUUGUUCCUCUUCACUCAGGUAAAUCUACUGUUGGUUGUCGUUGGGUUUAUGUAGUCAAAGUUAGUCCCGAUGGCCAGAUUGAUCGACUUAAGGCCCGUCUUGUUGCCAAAGGAUAUACUCAGAUAUUUGGGCUCGAUUACAGUGAUACCUUCUCUCCUGUGGCUAAAGUAGCUUCAGUCCACCUUUUUCUAUCCAUGGCUGCGGUUCGUCAUUGGCCCCUCUAUCAGCUGGACAUUAAGAAUGCCUUUCUUCAUGGUGAUCUUGAGGAUGAGGUUUAUAUGGAGCAACCACCUGGUUUUGUUGAUCAAGGGGAGUCUCGUGGCCUUGUAUGUCGCUUGCGUCGGUCACUUUAUGGUCUAAAGCAGUCUCCUCGAGCCUGGUUUGGUAAGUUCAACACGAUUAUCCCGGAGUUUGGCAUGACUCGUAGUGAAGCUGAUCACUCUGUGUUUUAUCAGCACUCUGCUCCAAGUCUCUGUAUUUAUCUGGUAUAUAUUGUUAUUACUGGCAAUGAUCAGGAUGGUAUUACCAAUCUGAAGCAACAUCUCUUUCAGCACUUCCAAACUAAGGAUCUAGGCAGAUUGAAGUACUUUCUAGGUAUUGAGGUUGCCCAGUUUAGCUCAGGUAUUGUUAUUUCUCAAAGAAAAUAUGCUUUAGACAUUCUUGAGGAGACAAGGAUGAUAGGUUGCAGAACUGUUGACACUACGAUGGAUCCGAAUUCUAAACUUCUGCCAGGAGAGGGGGAGCCGCGUAGCGAUCCUGCAAGCUAUAGGCGGCUGGUUGGAAAAUUAAAUUAUCUCACAGUGACUAGGCCCGACAUUUCUUAUCCUGUGAGUGUUGUAAGUCAGUUUAUGAAUUCUCCCUGUGAUAGUUAUUGGGAUGCAGUUGUCCGCAUUAUUCGGUAUAUAAAAUCGGCUCCAGGCAAAGGGUUACUGUUUGAGGAUCGAGGUCAUGAGCAGAUCGUUAGAUACUCAGAUGCUGAUUGGGCAGGAUCACCUUCUGACAUAUGUUCUACAUCUGGAUAUUGUAUUUUAGUAGGAGGCAAUUUGGUGUCCUGGAAAGCAAGAAACAGAAUGUAGUUGCUCGGUCUAGUGCAGAAGCAGAAUAUCGAGCAAUGGCUAUGGCAACAUGUGAGUUAGUCUGGACCAAACAAUUGCUCAAGGAGUUGAAAUUUGGUGAAAUCAGUCGGAUGGAACUUGUGUGCGAUAAUCAAGUUGCUCUUCAUAUUGCAUCAAAUCCGGUGUUCCAUGAGAGAACUAAACACAUUGAGAUUGAUUGUCACUUCGUCGGAGAAAAGAUACUUUCAGGAGAGAUUGCUAUAAAGUUUGUGAGGUCGAAUGAUCAACUUGCAAAUAUUUUCACCAAGUCUCUCACUGGUCCUCGUAUUGAUUAUAUAUGUAACAAGCUCGGUACAUAUGAUUUGUAUGCACCGGCUUGAGGGGGAGUGUUAGUUUACAGCUAUGUAUAUAGUGUAGUCUUGUCUCACAUUGGAAUAGGAGUAGUAUGUCCUUGUAUAGUAUAGCUAUAAAUAAGGACCUCUUGUAUUGUAUUAUAUUGAAGAUCCAAUAUCAAUAACAUAUUUUCUCCCGUGCUUUCUCACAGAAUCUUUCUCUAUCUCUCUUCUUCUUCAAAUCUCUUUGUUGUUACACUUUGCGAAUGGUCCACAAACUGUGGUUAAAGGAAUAGGAGAAGUGCAAAUUCUUUCCUCUGUUUCUUUAAACUCGGUUUUAUACUUCGGAAUCCCCGUUUAAUUUUAUCUCUAUUAGCUAAUUAACCAAAAGCCUAAAUUGCAACGACACCUAACUCUGUUGUUAUGCAAACAGGACCGGAGUACGGGGAGGACGAUUGGAACAGGACAUAAGUCACACGGACUAUACCAUAUUGUCCAAGCCUCGAUCACCAUUUUCCUUUACUUCCAUUGCCUCCACUGAUCUUCUCCACAGCCAUCUCGGCCAUCCAAGUCUCACUAAACUACAGAAAUUAGUUCCUAGUCUUUCUUAGUUGUCUUUAUUCGAAUGUGAGACAUGCUAACUGGGAAAGACACUCGCACUUCUUUUUCCGAACGAGACAAUAAUAGAGCUUUAUCUAUGUUUGACAUUGUGCACUCAGACAUAUGGGGUCCAAGUUCGUGUUAUGUCAAGUUUAGGGUUUCAUUAUUUUGUAACCUUCAUUAAUGACUAUUCUUGUUGCACAUGGGUAUUUUUAAUGAACAAUCGUUCUGAACUGUUCUCUAUUUUUUAAAAGUUUUGUGCAGAGAUUCGUAAUCAAUUUGAUGUUUCAAUAAAGUUAUUGCGCAGUGAUAAUGCCAAGGAGUACUUAUCAUAUCCCUUUGUCAGUUUAUGUCAUCUCAGGAAAUUAUUCACCAGACUUGUGUAUAUACUCCACAACAAAAUGGAGUUGCCGAACGAAAAAUUCGGCAUCUCAUCGAAACUGCCCGUACCUUACCUAUACACCAUCAUAUGCCUCUUCGUUUUUGGGGGGAUGCCAUUCUCACUGCUUGUUAUCUAAUGAACCGUAUGUCCUCUACUUUGCUGCGACUAUACAUCAUCAUAUGCCUCUUCGUUUUUGGGGGGAUGCCAUUCUCACUGCUUGUUAUCUAAUUAACCGUAUGUCCUCUACUUUGCUACGACAUCAGAGUCCUCAUUCCAUUCUCUUUCCAGUACAAAGUUCUCAUCAUCUUCCAUUGUGAAUAUUCGGUUAUAUUUGUUUUAUUCAUUACAAUAAUGGGUAUGAUAAACUUUAAGCCAACUCGGUUAAAUGUGUCUUCCUAGGAUACUUUCAUCUCCAAAAAGGUUACAGAUGUUGUGAUCCAACUACAAAUAAAUAUUUUAUCUCAGCGGAUGUAACUUUCUUUGAGACAUCUCCUUAUUUUUCACCAAAUACUACAAACACGAAUCUAAUUCCCCAAGCUCUGCUUGUUUUUAUACUUCCCAUACCACAAGUCAGCUCUUAGGUUAGCUCGGGUCCUCCUCUUCAAGUUUAUACGUGACAUCAUCAUUAACCCUAAUAAUAAUUCUUCUCAUGAUCAGGUACAUUGUUAGCUCCUGAUGACUCAUUACGUCACCCAUUCCAGUCAGGCCUUCAUCAGACACAACGACUCCACCCAUUGCUAUUCACAAAUGUAUUAGCACUACCUGAAAUCAACACCUUAUUUAUAAUUACUUGAGUUAUCAUCUUUUAUCUCCAUCAUACUAUACCUUUGUGUCCACUUUAUCUUUUGUUCCUAACCUAAGACUGUUAGUGAAACAUUUGAACAUCCAGGGUGGACAGAUGCCAUGAUGGAAGAAAUGAAUACUCUAUAGGCCAAUAACACUUGGGAGUUGGUUCAAUUUUCAAAGGGCAAAUUUACUGUUGGAUGUCGUUGGGUCUAUACAGUGAAAGUAGGUCCUGAUGGCAAGAUUGAUCGAUUGAAAGCUCGCCUUGUUGCCAAAGGAUAUACUCAGAUAUAUGGCCUUGAUUAUGGUGACAUUUUUUCUCCAGUUGCCAAAAUUGCGUCUGUCUGGCUACUUAUCUCUGUAGCAGCAAUGCGUCAUUGGACGCUUCAUCAGCUGGAUAUUAAGAAUGCAUUUUUGCAUGGAGAGCUAGCCGAGGAGGUAUAUAUGGAGCAACCACUAGGAUUUGUUGCUCAGGGGGGGUCACACUUAGUAUGCUAUCUAAAGCGAUCACUUUAUGGUUUGAAACAAUCUCCAAGAGCAUGGUUUGGGAGAUUUAGUUCAGUGGUCCGGCAGUUUGGGAUUGGGAUGUCUCGAAGUGCAGCAGAUCAUUCUGUUUUUUUAUCGGCGUGAUGGUCCAGAUAAAUGUAUCUACCUGUUAGUCUACGUUGAUUACAUCGUUAUAACAUGCAAUAAUCAAGAAGGAAUUCUUUAGCUAAAGCAACAUCUAUCCAACAACUUUCAAACCAAAGAUUUGGGAAAGUUAAAGUAAUUUUGGAGAUCGAGGUAGCACAAUCCAAGACAGGCAUUGCAAUCUCACUAAGGAGGUAUGCUUUGGAUAUUCCAGAGGAGGCAUGUAUGACAAAUUGUAAAUCGAUUGGUACUCCUAUGGAUCAGAAUGUCAAACUUGUUCCUAGAUAGGGGGAGCUGCUAGAUGACCUAGGCAAAUACCAAAGACUGGUUGGGAAAUUGAAUUAUCUCACUAUUACACGACUAGAUAUCUCAUUCGCAAUGAGUGUAGUUAGCCAGUUUCUUCAAGCCCCGCGUAAAGGUCAUUCCGUAUCCUCAGAUACAUAAAAAGAGCUCCAUGACAAGUAUUGAUAUAUGAAGAUAAGGGUCACCUUGAUAUUAUUGGAUAUUCUAAUGCAAAUUAGGCAGGUUCUCCAUCAGACAGACGUUCCACUUUGGAUAUUGUGUCAUGAUAUUUUCUACUACUUGAUCCAAUCUGAAUCAACCAUUUAGAGCCCUCUUGGUACCAUUCCCUUAGCCAAUCUGGUUGUGUCAUCCCAGAGAUUGGUCUAACAGCCUAAUGCAACAACAACAACAAUAACAAACCCAGUUGGAUCGCACAAGUGGGGUUUGGGGAGCGUAAUGUGUACGCAGACCUUACCUCUACCUUAUGAAGUAGAGAGGCUGUUUUACUUAGGUGGAGCAAUCCGAACUCUCGACAGAAUAUAAAAGAGGACCACUGUAAACACCUCAACGAACUCAUGUGGACACUCCUCAGCCCGAGGACAAUCUCUCAAAUACAUAUGUUGAUGUUGUUGACCCGUUUUUCUUUUAUUUGCUGAUUCCUCUCAAUGAAAUUUUCCAUGUUGCACUAAGUUACUUACGGAUGUAUGCAUGCGGUCUGGGAACACUUUGGGAUGUUUCCGGUAGACCCUCGGCUAACAACCUAAUGCAAGUUCUUGUAAAAACCAUCGGUAAAAUCCGAUGUAUGUUUUAGAUUCCUUAUAAACCAGUGUCGUACUGGUUCAGUUAUCUCAUCAUAUAGAGUAUUCCUACUAGUGAUCCUAUUGCCUUAUCUUUUUUUCUUCACACCGUUCAGCAUCUUUAUCCUUAGCAAGGUCACGUACUUGUUACCAGUCCGAACAAAACUAGUAAUAGGAAAGAAUGUAGAGACAUAAUUGUUUUAGGCCUGGACUUGUGCAAGCUGCUUGUGAUUUUACUUGUCAUUGUAGUGCCAGAUGAGCGUCUAGGAGAUCACAAGCAUACUAUGACACCACAUAUGGAACUGGUGAAUUUACCAAAACACAUGGAUAUACCCAAUUGUCCACUAACUAAAGGUUGCAGCACAUUAGUUAGUAGCAAGGGACUGAAAUUACUAGACAGAAUGUUCAUAUAGACCGAUAUGCUCUAGGAGAUUCUCUCGGCAAUGUGUCUCAUAUCGAUAAAAAGCUAGAGCUGGGGUCCAUUUCAUCCCCUUUUGCUGUUGUCGAAUGUGGGUUGCAAUUUCUUCCUAGUUUCCCUUCUUUCUGGAGGAUGAGACAGGAAUUUUUUUUUAAAAAAGGGCAUUACUGGGAUCGUUGAGACAGAUACCAAAACCAGCACUGGUUUGAAGAGAGGCUUAGUUAAAAUGGAACUUGCUCCGGACAAAAAAAAUGAAGCAAUAAAAGAGAUGAUAGUUCCUUCCUUAACUAAAAUGUGAGUUCUAUUUAGACUCUAGCUGGACUCUUCAAUAAGAUCAAAUGCCUGUACAACCAACAAGUCGUAGCACCGAUUUGAUAAAGUUCACAUAUUUAGAGACCAAAAACCUGAUUUUUUGAAUCAUGGCAUCCCAAGAAAUUUCCCAUUAGCUUACCUUGGCUGCUUGUUUCCUUUAAAACUGCUGCAUGCACUCCUAGUUACUGAAUUCGAGAGCGCUGACUAAUUAUUUUGCAGUUUACAGAUUUUGUGGUUACUUGACUAAUUUAUUGCACUAACUUUGUUAUCAGGGAAAAAGCGUAUAAUCAAUGGUAUAGUGCCCAGUGCUCACUGAUAUUGAAAACCAUAAAUUUUGUUCAGAAUCUUCUGAAGAACUGUGCGACCCCCCCCCACCCCCCCCCCCCCAAAAAAAAAAAAAACGAAAAAGAAAAGAAAAAGAAAAAAAAAAGAUCUGUCCCUAACGUUAUCGCUCUUGUACGUAACCAUCAAUAAACGUAUGCUACAAUUUUGUGUACUUACCCAUCAAUAAUCGUAUCUCACAAUAUUGUAUGGUUCAGCCUGGUAGAGAUCGUUCGACGAUAUCACAACCAUGUGGAAGCAGAAAAAGAGAUCUCUGGAGAUGUUUCUGACACAGAGGUAUUUGUGUAGUUUGUCUUGAUUAAUUAGUUCUCUCUUUACAGAUUAAGAUUCUCUCCGGAUACCUGAAAUACGUCAACUUUAAUAACUCUAUGUACAGCAUCAAGCAACUCCUUAGACACAUAGUCCCCCUCCCCCCCAUCCCGAAGAAAAAUUGCACUGUAGCAUCUGAGUGCAACUUCCUGCAUUCUGAGUAGGUCUAUAGACACUAACAUACAUGUCCGGUUGGUGUGCCACCUGACUUGAAGGUCCAACCUCGUAUGUAGUGAUUACGAUAGUAACUUGUCAUCAUAGUGCCUAACAAUGUAUAUUUUGAGAAGAAGAAAAGACUUCUUGUAUUUCUGUGUAUGUUUACAUCCCAUAAGCAAGGGAAUUUAUACAAAUCUCCUAAUCCUAAUUAAGGAAAUAAAAUAAAUCUAUACAAUCAGUCCAGCUGUCAAAUAAAAUCAAAUCUUCUAAAUAUAAUCAAAUCUCCUAAAAUCAUGCUAAUCAACAAUCUCCUAAAUAUAAUCAAAUCUCCUGAAAUCAUGUUAAUCAACCAAAAAGUAUCUCGCUAGACACUAUUAGUUUUUUAUUGGACCUAAAAAAAAAACCUCUGAAGUUAUUCUUCAUAUAUGGAAUAACUUAUUAUCAAUUAAUUGUGUGUUAUUCAAUUUCUCUGGUAAUCAUUUUACAGUCCAAGUACUGAAAGUUACCUAUCCUUGUGAGGUGGAAAUAGCACUCUAAAUAUGCAAGCUUCAUGACAGUGGGAGAACUGUUACAAACAGUAGAAAGGUACUGACCUUCAUGCUUCUCUUUCAUUUCUUGAAAGGUAUAGUACUGAUUCUCUGUCCCUAUUUGAAAGGCAACUCGAGGAGCCUGAUGUUGAUGGUCUCAGUG
rnacentral:lncRNA from 1 species